rnacentral:rRNA from 1 species
GGAAAGGUGAAAAGAACCGCGGGAGCGGAGUGAAAUAGAACCUGAAACCGUAUGCCUACAAGAAGUCAGAGCCCGUUGAAGGGUGAUGGCGUGCCUUUUGUAGAAUGAACCGGCGAGUUGCGACCGGCUGCGAGGUUAAGCGGGAAAACGCGGAGCCGCAGCGAAAGCGAGUCUCAAUAGGGCUCAAGUAGACGGUCGCAGACCCGAAACCGGGUGAUCUAGCCAUGAGCAGGUUGAAGUUGAGGUGAAACUCAAUGGAGGACCGAACCCACCGCCGUUGAAAAGUCGGGGGAUGACUUGUGGCUAGGGGAGAAAUUCCAAUCGAACCCGGAGAUAGCUGGUUCUCCCCGAAAUAGCUUUAGGGCUAGCGUCGGAAAGAACCUGUGUGAAGGUAGAGCACUGAAUGUGUGAUGGCCCCAUCCCGGGGUACUGAACAUAAUCAAACUCCGAAUGUCAUGCAGGAUGUCCGGCAGUCAGACCGUGAGUGAUAAGGUCCAUGGUCGAGAGGGAAACAGCCCAGACCGCCAGCUAAGGUCCCAAAAUACAGGCUAAGUGGAAAAGGAUGUGGGGAUGCCCAGACAACUAGGAGGUUGGCUCAGAAGCAGCCACCCUUUAAAGAGUGCGUAACAGCUCACUAGUCGAGUGACCCUGCGCCGAAAAUGUACCGGGGCUAAGCCUGAUACCGAAGCUGCGGAUUAUCGAAAGAUAGUGGUAGGGGAGCGUUGCAUGCAGAUUGAAGCCGUACCGUGAGGAGCGGUGGACCGCAUGGAAGUGAGAAUGCCGGUGUGAGUAGCGAGAUGUAGGUGAGAAUCCUACACACCGAAAGCCCAAGGUUUCCAGGGGAAGGUUCGUCCUCCCUGGGUAAGUCGGGACCUAACGCGAGGCCGAAAGGCGUAGUGGAUGGAAAGCAGGCAGAGAUUCCUGCACCCGGACGCGGAGCGAUGGAGUGACGGAGACGGCUAGUAUGACCCUCUUAACGGAUUGAGGGCGAAGCGGGAUAGCUGAUGACCAGGCAAAUCCGGUCAUCAUAAGGCGAAGACGUGACAGGCAGGCGAACGCUGCGGCAAGUAGCCAAGCAUAUGAGGCCGGCUCCCGGGAAAAGCUUCUAGCAAUGCGCGUGCGGCCCGUACCGCAAACCGACACAGGUGGGCAGGUAGAGCAUACCAAGGUGAGCGAGAGAACUGUUGCCAAGGAACUCGGCAAUAUCGCUCCGUACGUUCGCAAGAAGGAGCGCUCUGUUCGACAGAGCCGCAGUGAAGAGGCCCAAGCGACUGUUUAACUAAAACACAGCUCUCUGCGAAGUCGCAAGACGAAGUAUAGGGGGUGACACCUGCCCGGUGCCGGAAGGUUAAGAGGAUCUGUCAGCCGCAAGGUGAAGCAGUGAUCUGAAGCCCCGGUGAACGGCGGCCGUAACUAUAACGGUCCUAAGGUAGCGAAAUUCCUUGUCAGGUAAGUUCUGACCCGCACGAAAGGUGUAACGAUUUGG